rnacentral:rRNA from 1 species
UAUUACCGCGGCUGCUGGGUGAAGAUCCGGUCUGCGCCCGGGAAGCCACCGGCACGCGCACCAUCAGCACGGCGGACCUUGGAGAUGGCCCACAGCAGGCUGGCCUCAAUCGGGGUAGUUUCGCUGUUCAUAUCGUGCCCAUAGAGGCACAGCCCGGCUUCCAGGCGCAGGGAGUCUCGAGCGCCCAGGCCAAUGGCAGCUACUUCCGUUUCGGCCAGCAGCCGCGGUAAUA